AAAAAGAGAGGGUGACUAGAGGUGACCGGCCAGGAGAUGGUCGCCCAGAUCAAAGCUCAUGUGGCCUCACUGGAGCGCACUGCCCCAGAAGAUCAAGUCAUGCUCCUGGCAGGCAUGCCCCUGGAGGAUGAAGCCACCCUGGGACAGUGCUGGGUGGAGACCCUGGCCUCCUUGGAAGUAGCAGGCCGCAUGCUUAGAGGUAAAGUCCAUGGUUCCCUAGCCCGUGCUGGGAAAGUGAGAGGUCAGACUCCUAAGGUGGCCACACAGGAGAAGGAAGAAGGAAGAGGGAGAAGAAGAAGAAGAAGAGGAGGAGGAGGAGGAGGAGGAGGAAGAAGAAGUGGCUGAUGCAGUCCAACCAGCGCUUUGUCAACGUGCCCACCUUUGGCAAGAAGAAGGGCCUCAAUGCCAACUCUUUAGUCCUUUGUAAUUCUGGCUUUCUCUAAUGAAAAAGCCACUUAGUUCAAAA